rnacentral:rRNA from 1 species
AACGAACGCUGGCGGCAUGCCUAAUACAUGCAAGUCGAACGAAGGCUUCGGCCUUAGUGGCGCACGGGUGCGUAACGCGUGGGAAUCUACCCUUGGGUUCGGAAUAACAGUUAGAAAUGACUGCUAAUACCGGAUGAUGACGUAAGUCCAAAGAUUUAUCGCCCAAGGAUGAGCCCGUGUAAGAUUAGCUAGUUGGUGAGGUAAAGGCUCACCAAGGCUACGAUCUUUAGCUGGUCUGAGAGGAUGAUCAGCCACACUGGGACUGAGACACGGCCCAGACUCCUACGGGAGGCAGCAGUAGGGAAUAUUGGACAAUGGGCGAAAGCCUGAUCCAGCAAUGCCGCCGUGAGUGAUGAAGGCCUUAGGGUUGUAAGCUCUUUACCCGAGAUGAUAAUGACAGUAUC